GUUUGUUGUGUGCCUUGGAAGAUUAGUGAAGGAUCCUGCUGGCACUUGCCUAGAUAAAUAAACUGCACGAAAUCAGGGCAGUGACACCCAGGCAGAGUUUUAGCUCCUGGCUAGCCACAGAUCGCAACGAGAGACAUAAGCCAGAGCAUCGUUCCUCAAGCCAAGGACCCCUGUCAUCCAUUAGAGCGGUAAUCAAGAGAUCUUCUCGGACCUGUAUUCAAAGUGAACUUCAUCGGGAUAGGAGGCGCCCAGAGAUCACCAUUGUGGCAGCAGAGCCACUGAGGCCAGCCUCGUGGUUUCCGGGAGCUCCACCACCAGGACUGGGAUUUCCCUCCACGCCUGUAGGAGGCUCUUGGAGACCCAAUGACUUGGUUCCUGCUGAGCUCCCACCCUCCUACGAACAAGUGAUAAAAGAAAUCAACCAAGUCCAGGUGAACUCCACAAAUAACAA
rnacentral:lncRNA from 1 species